rnacentral:rRNA from 1 species
GAUGAACGCUGGCGGCGUGCCUAAUACAUGCAAGUCGAGCGAACGGACGAGAAGCUUGCUUCUCUGAUGUUAGCGGAGGACGGGUGAGUAACACGUGGAUAACCUACCUAUAAGACUGGGAUAACUUCGGGAAACCGGAUCUAAUACCGGAUGAUAUUUUGAACCGCAUGGUUCAAAAGUGAAAGACGGUCUUGCUGUCACUUAUAGAUGGAUCCGCGCUGCAUUAGCUAGUUGGUAAGGUAACGGCUUACCAAGGCAACGAUGCAUAGCCGACCUGAGAGGGUGAUCGGCCACACUGGAACUGAGACACGGUCCAGACUCCUACGGGAGGCAGCAGUAGGGAAUCUUCCGCAAUGGGCGAAAGCCUGACGGAGCAACGCCGCGUGAGUGAUGAAGGUCUUCGGAUCGUAAAACUCUGUUAUUAGGGAAGAACAUAUGUGUAAGUAACUGUGCACAUCUUGACGGUACCUAAUCAGAAAGCCACGGCUAACUACGUG